rnacentral:rRNA from 1 species
AGAGUUUGAUCAUGGCUCAGAUUGAACGCUGGCGGCAGGCCUAACACAUGCAAGUCGAGCGGUAGCACAGAGAGCUUGCUCUCGGGUGACGAGCGGCGGACGGGUGAGUAAUGUCUGGGAAACUGCCUGAUGGAGGGGGAUAACUACUGGAAACGGUAGCUAAUACCGCAUAAUGUCGCAAGACCAAAGUGGGGGACCUUCGGGCCUCAUGCCAUCAGAUGUGCCCAGAUGGGAUUAGCUAGUAGGUGGGGUAACGGCUCACCUAGGCGACGAUCCCUAGCUGGUCUGAGAGGAUGACCAGCCACACUGGAACUGAGACACGGUCCAGACUCCUACGGGAGGCAGCAGUGGGGAAUAUUGCACAAUGGGCGCAAGCCUGAUGCAGCCAUGCCGCGUGUGUGAAGAAGGCCUUCGGGUUGUAAAGCACUUUCAGCGGGGAGGAAGGCGNNNNNNNNNNNNNNNNNNNCGAUUGACGUUACCCGCAGAAGAAGCACCGGCUAACUCCGUGCCAGCAGCCGCGGUAAUACGGAGGGUGCAAGCGUUAAUCGGAAUUACUGGGCGUAAAGCGCACGCAGGCGGUCUGUCAAGUCGGAUGUGAAAUCCCCGGGCUCAACCUGGGAACUGCAUUCGAAACUGGCAGGCUAGAGUCUUGUAGAGGGGGGUAGAAUUCCAGGUGUAGCGGUGAAAUGCGUAGAGAUCUGGAGGAAUACCGGUGGCGAAGGCGGCCCCCUGGACAAAGACUGACGCUCAGGUGCGAAAGCGUGGGGAGCAAACAGGAUUAGAUACCCUGGUAGUCCACGCCGUAAACGAUGUCGAUUUGGAGGUUGUGCCCUUGAGGCGUGGCUUCCGGAGCUAACGCGUUAAAUCGACCGCCUGGGGAGUACGGCCGCAAGGUUAAAACUCAAAUGAAUUGACGGGGGCCCGCACAAGCGGUGGAGCAUGUGGUUUAAUUCGAUGCAACGCGAAGAACCUUACCUGGUCUUGACAUCCACAGAACUUUCCAGAGAUGGAUUGGUGCCUUCGGGAACUGUGAGACAGGUGCUGCAUGGCUGUCGUCAGCUCGUGUUGUGAAAUGUUGGGUUAAGUCCCGCAACGAGCGCAACCCUUAUCCUUUGUUGCCAGCGGUUAGGCCGGGAACUCAAAGGAGACUGCCAGUGAUAAACUGGAGGAAGGUGGGGAUGACGUCAAGUCAUCAUGGCCCUUACGACCAGGGCUACACACGUGCUACAAUGGCAUAUACAAAGAGAAGCGACCUCGCGAGAGCAAGCGGACCUCAUAAAGUAUGUCGUAGUCCGGAUUGGAGUCUGCAACUCGACUCCAUGAAGUCGGAAUCGCUAGUAAUCGUAGAUCAGAAUGCUACGGUGAAUACGUUCCCGGGCCUUGUACACACCGCCCGUCACACCAUGGGAGUGGGUUGCAAAAGAAGUAGGUAGCUUAACCUUCGGGAGGGCGCUUACCACUUUGUGAUUCAUGACUGGGGUGAAGUCGUAACAAGGUAACCGUAGGGGAACCUGCGGUUG